rnacentral:lncRNA from 1 species
AAUAUUCCUUCCAGCACAUGGCAUCUUUGGAACCUAUAUAUGGUACCAUAUCCAUACAGAAAAUCAGAUUUGGAUAAACCCUAAAAACCAAAAAGAUUCCCUGCAUAUUUUCAUUCUAAAGUUUACUAAAAAGCAUACUAGUUCUCUUUUAAAAAGGAUUCUAUUUUCAUUAGGUUUUCUGGGCUCUAAGUCUGAAAUAGAGUUGGUCAUUGGAGAUGUGGUUUGUUUUGCUAAUUUGGUGUUGUGCUUCCUACGGAUUCUUCAUCUUGUUUUGACACUCAGAUUUUCCUUUUUCUUGUUGCUGUAACCAGGUAUUACACCCUACCAUGAAAUGCAAAACUGAAACAUAUUGGCUGGAUGAUUGAAAUAAUAGAUCUAUAUAUUUUUUUAUUUAGAACACCAUCUUGUUUUUCUUUUUGUUCUCUUCUUCUUCUUCUUCUGUUUAAAAUUCUCAUGUCAUUAUGUAAAGUGAAAGCUAUUUUUGUUCACCUCUUAAGUUGAGAGUCAGCAAUGGAGUCCUCAUGUGUACCUAAAGACUGGACUGUUAUUUAGCUUGUAUAUAUGGGACUGUUUUAGAUUUUAAAUGAACAUUGUCAAUACUAUAGCUGGAUUUAUUCUUCACUAGCAUGACUGUAAUGUACACAACACUGGGAAGUUUCAAAAGUUCUGAUUUAGAAUAGAAAUCUCAAUUGAAAAAUCCCUUUACACAUUCUAAAAAUAAGAGUUAGUUUCUUUAUAAGAAAAGGAUACAAACAUCUGUCCUUCAAUCUCCACCGAUUCAAUUUUUGUUUUAAAAUAAAGCUGUUAUUCCACGUUUUCAAAAGUGAUGGGAUUCCAAUUUUUCUUUAGCAUUUGAUGCAUUGUUAAUUAGUUAUGGUCAUUGUAUUGUGCAUUUCUUUGUAAAACUCAUGCAUUUUAGUUUAAGGAUUUUGAUGAUUGCAGUAUUUGAUUGGGAACAUUUAAUAAAAAACCGUACCAUUAAAAAGAAAACUAGACCUGCCGAUGGCCCAGGACAUUUUGGCCAAAUUUGGACCCCUGCUACUCGACUUCCUCUGACCAUGCAUUUGGACCCGAUUUAGGGGGCCUAUUUGACAACAUCUCCACUUUCCUUUUAUUUCGCUUGCUUAAUGCUAUACCGGGCUGCCUUGUGUCCCAGUUUUUUCUCAUCCAAUUAGCACAAACUUGUCUUGACAUUAAGCCCAAGUUCUCGUAACUAAAAACCCAUUUUUGGCCUUAAUUAUUUAAGCCUUCUAAGGUUGAGGUGUGCCAUCUUUCCCUAGAUAACCCAUGGCCCUCAUACAAAUUAUUAACUUAGUAUUAAAAUAAGCUAGAACAAUCGUAAAGUGCUUUAAGCGCGCAAUUAAAUUAUUACAACUAUGGGUAUGGCUCCCGUGACGUGGUUAUGAUAAUUAGUGUACCUUUUAGAUUCCCUUUAAAAUAUAUACCUUUUUUUUAAUUUGAGGUGUGCUAUGUUUUAAACCCAUAAUAUAUGGACCUCACAAAUUGAAUUCAAGAGUUAAUACCUUUUAAAAUCGAGGCGUGCCAUCAAUUAAAAUUUCCAUGGCCCUCGCAAAUAUUUUAUUAAUUUGAACCUUCGUAGUUGCUUUAGGCACGCUCUUUAAAGUGAUUUUCUUUCAAAUACUAAAUUCUGGAGUACAUUUCAUGUGACCCAAUUUUAAUUCUCCAUAAUGUUAAAUAGAACGUGUUGCGAACCGCGGGUGCAUUUCAUGUGGCGUGGUUCAAUACAUGUUUUAAAUAAUGUUGACUCUUCCUAAAAGCGUUUUAAAUAAUUAAAAGCGGUUAAUGAGUUAAAAUGCACCAUAGGUUAAAAUAUGUAAUUAAUAAGAUAAUAGGCCAAUUUUAAUAGUUUAAGCGACCGUGCUAGAACCACGAAAUCCAGGAAUGUCUAACACCUUCUCCCAGGUUAACAGAAUUCUUUACUUAGAAUUUCUGGUUCGCAGACUUCAAAAGGAAAGUCAAAUUUCCUCGAUUUGGGAUUCAAAAUAAACCGGUGACUUGAGACACCAAAUAAACUAUCCCAAGUGGCGACUCUGAUAAAUAAAUAAUCCCAUUUCGAAUAAUGUCACCUUAAUUGAAAAAACUCCCUUAUACCAUCGGGGUAUAAAAAAGGAGGUGUGACACUCUUCUUUCACUAUCUAUCUUACUCUUCAUCUCAUAGGUCUACUGAUUUCCAACCAGCUCUUCUAUGGUCAGCUCAUGCAGGUCCUUUGAUUCAGUAAUAGCAUUCACCUUGCUUUCCCAAGGGCUAGAUCCCAACCUGGAACGUUGUGAUCUCAAGGUCUUGUAGAUGUAGCAGGUUCCUUAUCUGGUUCUGAAUGUUAAGUUUGUUAGAUCAUCAAAACAUACAGUAAAGUACUUGUGCCCAAGGUACUUGUAACCUAUGCAUUUUCCCCUUUUUGAUGACGACAAUCUUAGAAUUGAUAUUCCCCAUGAGAACCAGAUCUCCAUAUUGUUCCCCCUACGAAUCAGCCAUAUUCCCCAUGAAAACUUAACCUAGGGAGCCAAUCACAACUGUUCCUCAAGACUGUUUGACAAAUCAUCAAAAUUGAAAUUUCCAUAACUUAUCAAUUUCCCCCAUUUUGAUGAUGACAAACCCAGAAUUAAUAUUCCUAUUGAGAACCAAAUUCCUCACAUGUUUCCUGCAGAUCAGACCUAAAAUCAACAUAUUAUCAGCAACGUUCCCCUUGCAAAGCAGAGCUAUCUCUUGAGAACCAGAGAACCAGAUUCCUCAUAUGUUUCCCUGCAUUAUCAGCAACGUUCCCCUACGAAGCAGAUCCACGAUUCAUGCAAAACACAUCAUAUCAGUUCGACUCCCCCAUGUGGACACCUAUAUAACUUUACCCUUUUGGCAUCAUCGAAAAGAAUAACAGAAGAAGCACUACCAAAAAGAAGUUCAGCAAUAUUAACUCAGGCAACUUGGGCAACACAGCAUAAACAGUAACAAGAACAACAAGUGAAUGUCAUGGCACAAAAUAGAGUGAUUGCCCAUAUUGGAGUAAUUAUAACAAAAGCACAGUAGUUUCAACAAUAUAAAAUAUGGCAAUUUAAACAACUAAAGUACCAAUGUAAUCAAAUAUAUGGAUCAAAAGAAGGUAAGAAUUCAAGGAAAUUUGGAAGGAGUGAAGGACAUGGAUCACUGGGCAGGAAGAAAAGUAAGGGGUUAAGGCUUGGAUGAGUUUGUUCAUCCGUUCAUUUACUCUUCUUUGAUCAAUGAUCAUCUGCUCUUUCAGUUCCUUCACCUGUUUCCUUAAUCUUUCAUUCUCACCCUUCAACUUAGCAUUCUAUUCUGCCAGGGGUCCUCGAGGACCAGGUUCCCAACCUACUGAGUAGGUUGAACCAUCAAUCAGAUCACCAAGACUCUCCGCAAGCUUCAUCUCAUCAAUAACAAAUGCAGUCCCAUGCACAUAUAGCAUCAUAGUAUCACAUAAAACAUAGAAGUCUGUUACUUCUUCUUCAGAAACAUUGGAACUUGGAGGAACGAAAAUGUGAUUCUAUUUUUGGAACUCAACAAUGUCAAGAAGUUCCUCCAUUUUCAGCAAUAUCAGAGUCAACACUCUGCCUUACAGCACUUUUUGAGACUUCAACAUCUUCUCCCUCCAAACCUAUUGGCUCAACCCUUUGCUUCUGUAAGGAACUAGGUUCCUUGCUUACACUACCCUUUCUAUCCCUGAGCAGCCAUGUCUCCCUCUUUUUAUUCUCAAUCUGUUUACCCUUAUCAUCUGCUGCAUCUUUCUCAGCUAACCAAUUUUUUUAAAAUUCUUUCUCACAGGAAAAGAUUUCAUUUCAUUCUUUCCACAAUCACAUCAACAUCUCACACCACUUCAUCAUCAAUCAGCCUACUUUUCAUCAAUCCUUUUCACUGGAUCAGAAGUUUGUUUAUACGCAGAACUCAAAGAGAAAAAAAUAAUUAUUAAAAUUGACUUCAUGAGAAGGACUUGAGGUAUCAGGUCCCUCAUUCAGUCCUCACAUUUACCAAUUUCUCCAUCCUUCAAGGCUUCCACAAAUCCAGCAGCAACUUCAGCCUCACAUUCUUAUAAUAUUAGAUCUACCUUGUUCCCUUUCAGUUAAACUUCCAUCAAAAUCUAUCAAAGAAUUCUUGUAGUUUUGAUUCUGACGGAGUUAGGUUUUUGGAAAGUGAGAGAGUUGGAUUCACUUAUGGCAUAUUUAGAAAGAAGAACUUUUUUGAGACAAGGUUGAUUUUUGUUUUGAAGAAAAGAAUAGGUUUUAUUUGGGUGUAAGAUAGAGAAGUGCCUUUUUGGGGCAACAGGUCAGUUCAGAAAAAGGUUUAACAUUUUGGACUUCAAAGGUUAGGAGGAGAGACAGAAGAAGAGUAGAAACAAAUCGAUGACAUGACACUUCAGCAGCUUAAAAAGGCAUAUGAGUAUUGAAGAGACUACUAACCUGAGUCACAGGAACCAGGUUCCGUGACGGUUUUUUGAAAAUUUUGAGAAAAGACUCCUAGAAGUGCGAUGUCACUCUUACUUGUUUUUAUCCUGAAACCGCCAUAUGUGUGUACCUAUAAAAGUAUAGAUUUAGGUUAGAUGUCACCGAAAAAUACUUUUUAGCAUUGAACCUUUCCUUCUUAUCAUAGCCAACCAUUGAGGGACCAAGUCCUUUGUUGAGCUUGAUCAACCCCAACUCCAGACAAUUUCUUUCAAAAUGUUCACUGCGCAGCGCCUUGGUGAAGAUGUCUUCCAGAACUUCACACAAAUCGGAACCUUUUCAACAUUAUCCCUCAAAAGUGAUGUGCACGUCAAUGCAUUUUGUCCUUUUGUGUUGUAUCAGGUUCAAGCUAUAAAUGCAUCAUAGUCUUCAAGAAGAUGCUUGAUCUGUAAUAGUUGAGCACAACACAGAGCAACAACCACAUAUUCAGCUUCAGCAAUAGAAAGAGUCACAUUGUUUGUUUCUUUGUACCCCAUGAGAUCAAGCAUGAACCCAUAAAGUGUGUCGUUCCAGAUGCGCUUUGUCUAUCCAUCAUAUAUUCAACAUGAUCAACAUCAGCAUAUCCUAUUAAGUCAAGGUUAUCUCCUGAGUAAUAGUAGAGAACCAGGCCCUGCAUCCCUUUGAGAUAUCCUACGGUUCUCUUAGCAGCUUUCAAAUGAGAUUCCUUUGGAUUGGAUUGAAACAUAGCACAAAGACCCACACUAAAAACAAUUUAUGGUCUGCUACAGAAGUGACCCUAUGAUACCUCUAUACAUGAACUAAUUUAUAGGGGAACCAAGUUCAUCCAGUCUAGACAAGUAGCUGUGGCGAUGGGAGUGUGAAUGAUUUUUUGAUAUCUCCAUGUCAAAUCUAUUCAGCAGCUUUGUCACGACCCUAACCCCAAACCCGGUCGUGAUGGCGCCUCUCGUGAAGACAAGGCCAGCCAAUUAAACCCAAUUCACCUUUUUAAAAUAGUUAAACAAUAUAAAAGCAGUCUAAACAUGAUUUAAUGAUAAUAAGUAGCGAAAAUACAACCCGACAUAGCCCUAACCAGGGUGUCACAAGUCACGAGCAUCUACUAGGGUAUAAAUACAACUGAAAUUCUGGAGUGUACGAAUGCAGACUAAUGAAAUGAAGAGAGAGAGAAGCAGUGCUACGAACACCGACAGCUACCUUGCUAAACUCCGAUAACUCUGCCUCCGAUCACCCAAAACCCACUACCGGGUGUAUAAAUACCUGAAUCUGCACGCAAGGUGCAGGGAGUAAAGUGAAUACUCCAACUCAGUGAGUAACAAAUGUAAAUAAUAAAGAGUGAAGGCAAGAAGUCACGUAAAGCAUAUCAAGAUGUUGUAUAGAAGCAGUUCAAAAACCAAUAAGAAAGCAUUGAAGCUGUAAAAUUUCUUAAAACAUCUUAGCUCAGUUUAAACUUCUUUGAAAAUGGCUUUUUCAACAGUUAUGCAAAUGAAUGGAAAACAGCCUCGGGCAAAAAUAACAUAGUUUAACAGGUAAAUGACUGGUAAAUAUGAAAUAUAAACACAUAAAGGUUCACCCCUCGGGCUCAAUAUCAAUAACUCCACCCCUCAGGAAAUAUCUCAAAACAUACCAGCCCCUCGGGCAAUCACAUAGAUUGGUACCAGCCCCUCGGGCAAUCACAUAGAACAAUACCAGCCCCUCGGGCUAUCACAUGGAACAAUAUCAGCCCCUCGGGUAUAUCUCACAUCACAAUGGGUACCCGCACUCACUAGGGGUGUACAGACUCCGGGAGGGGCCUCUUACGGCCCAAGCGCAAUAUCAAGCCAUCUCGUGGCAUAAAAUCUAGGCCCUCGGCCUCAUAUCAGUCAAGCCACCUCGUAGCGUAUAUAUCUCAGGCCCUCGGCCUCAUAAACAAUAUCAACAAGCCACCUCGUGGCGUACAUAUCUCAGGCCCUCGGCCUCAAAUCAGUAUCAGUGUUUCCUCACAACUAGGCCCUCGGCCUUACUCAGUCAAAAAUACUCACAAGCCCCUCGGGCAUUAGUAAAAUAGUAUUUCUCAGCCCAAAACAUCAUUUAAAAUAUCAUUUAAGUCUCAAAAUGGAGUAAAAAUGGCUGAGUAGUAAAACAGUGGAUUGAGUUCAAUUUAUAAGUCAAAACAGUGAGGAAAUAGUAAUAAAAAUCCCCGAAGGGUUCAAAUAGUUGGCACGAAGCCCAAUAUGGCAAUCAGCCCAAAUCAUGAUGAUAACAAAUAAGUUUCAGCCAAAUACGCGAUAAAAUCAUCAAUCGGGAUGGACCAAGUCGCAAUCCCUACUAGUACACGACCCCACGCUCGUCAUCAAGUAUGUGCCUCGCCUCAAUAUAGCACUACGAUGUGCAAUCCGGGGUUUCAAACCCCCAGAACAUCAUUUACAAUCAUUACUCUCCUUGAACCGGCUAAAUCUCUAGCUCGCGACACCUUUGCCCCUCAAAUCGGCCUUCACUCGCAUCGAAUCUAUCGAAAAUCAGAACGAAUAGGUCACAAUAUGCUAAGGGAGCAAAGCCCAAGCGAAAACAAUCGAAAAUACCAAAAAUCCCAAAAUUAACAAAACCUAAACCCCGGGCCCACUUCUCGAAACUCAGAAAUUUUUACAUCAUUAGAUUCCUUAUCUCCCCACGAGUUCAUACAUGUCAAAAGUUAUCAAAUCUGACCCCAAAUGGUCCUCCAAAUCCCCAAUCAAAAUUCCAAAAUUCCAAGCCCUAGUUCUUCCAUUUUUAGCUUAAGUUUCAAUGAUUUUCUAGGUAGAUUUCACAAUAGAAUCGAGUUUUAAGUCCGAAUUUCUUACCUCCAAACGUUUCUACUUGAAUUCCUCCUCAAUAUCCUUCAAAAAGCUCCCAAAAUGACCAACUAUGGAGGAAAUGAGCACCAAAAUCGCGGAUGAAACAAAUUAAAAACAUUCUGCCUAGGCCUCACUUUCCUUAUUCACGAACGCGGUCAACGCCUCGCAUUCGCGAAGCACAACUUACGCUGACCAAAAAUUCUUCUUUGCGAACGCGAUACCCCAUCGUGAAAGCGGUGCUUUACCAGGCAUACCCUACGCAAACGCGUACUAGACAUCGCAAACGCGAUGCACAAAUUGACCUCCACCUAGCUGAACUCUACGCGAUCGCGAGGCUCCUGCAGCAAACGCGAUGCACCACUUGCCACCCCUCUGCGAAAGCGAAGCCCUUCUCGUGAAUGCGAAGGCAAAACCCCCAUCAACCUAUUCUAACUCUUCGCGAACGCGAAGGCAAAAACCCCAUCAACCUCUUCUAACUCUUCGCGAAUGCGAAGAGUAAAUUCCUGCAACUGCUAAGCCUGCAUUUUCUGCAAUUUCCUUAACUCCCAAAUGGUCCGAUUGACUUCCCGAAACUCACCCGAGGCCCCCGGUACCUCAACCAAAGGCACCAACACAUCUUAAAACCUUAUUCAAACUUGUUCCAAUCAUCAAAACACCUCAAACAACAUCAAAUCACCUAAAACACAUCGGAUUCAAGCCUAAGUUUCCAAAAUCUUCCGAAAUACGCUUUUGAUAAAAAAGCCAACCAAACCACGUCCGAAUGACAUGAAAUUUUGCACACACAUCACAACCGAUACAACAAAGCUACUGCAACUUCUGGAAUUCUAUUCCGACCCCUAUAUCAAAAUCCCACCUAUCAACCGGAAAACGCCAAAACCUUAAUUUCGCCAAUUCAAGCCUAAACCUUCCACGGACUUACAAAGUGCAUUUCGAUCACGCUCCUAAGUCCAAAAUCACCUAACGGAGCUGACCAAAUCAUAAAAAUUCUAAUUCGAGAUCAUAUACAAACAAGUCAAAUCUUGGUCAAACCCUUCAAAUUUCAAGCUUCAACUGAAAACUGUUUUCUUCCAAAUUCACUCUGAUUACCCUGAAAUCAAAACUAACGAAUUACAUACAUCAUAAUACAUCACACGGGGUAAGUCAUGCCCGAGAACUGGAGAUCAAAUUGCAAAAGCUCAAAACGACCGGUCGGUUGUUACAAGCUUCUUGCUUCACUUGUAAAUCUAAGAAGAAAUUCAUUCCCCCAUCGUACUCAUUUCUAACUCACUUCCCAUGAGUUAUGCACAUUCUUCACAUUGGGAGUCAAAUGUUUCUCCAAAGAUGAUUCCAUCCACAUAGAUCUGCACAAUGAGUAGGUUCUUUCCUGAUUUCUUUAGAAAAAAAGUGUUGUCAAUUUUCCUUCUUGUAAAGCCAUUUUCUAAAAGGAAUUUUGACAACCUUUCACACCAAGCACGGGGGCCCUACUCCUAUAAUAGUUCUGUCAGUAGGUCGUGGAACCUGGUUCCACAUACUAUUCCUCUUAAGUUGACAGAGCUCUUUUUGCAUAGCUGUAGUCCAGUCAACAUCUUUCAAUGUUUCCUUGAUAUUCUUAGGCUCUGUUUGAGAGAGAAUUGCUGAGAAGGCAAGUGAGUUUCUUGUCUUUGAUCUGGUUUGAAUUUUUUCAGCAGCUGGAGUUCCAUGUACAACAUCCACAACUCUAAUUUCUACUUCAGAUAUUGUGAUUGAGGGACCAGGUUCCUCUAUGUCGGAUGGCAUCUCAUCUUCAGUUCUGAGGAACAAGGUCCAUGUAAAUCUGGAGUAAUCAUCCAUACUGACGAGAAUAUGCACCUCUUUUCUCCUCUACUUGGCAUCCUCAUAGGUCCACAUAGAUCCAUAAGGAGGAGAUCACGUGGCCUUGAGAUACUAACUUCCUUUUUGGGCUUGAAAGAGGAUCUGACUUGCAUUUCUUUUACACAUGAAUCACAUACCCUGUGAUCCUUGAAGCUUGAUUUGAGAAAACCAUGAACCAGGUCCUUCUUGACUAAUUUACUCAGCAACGUGAAAUUUGCAUGACUGAGCCUUCUGUGUCAUAUCUCAGCCUUAUCAUUAACAACACUCAGAUAGCCAAGAUCCCCUUGUCACAAAUUUGGGAAAUACCCACUAGAAUCUCUUAGAGGACCAGGUACUCUAUUGUUCAAUGGAAUCAUACUGUUUGAGAUCCUUCCAACUCCCAGAAUGUAUCCCUUCUUGCCAUUUUCAAAGGAUACACUCCUUCCUUGCAGAGCCUUUAGUGAAAGGAAAUCAUUUGUUCUUCCAAUUAUGAGCUUCGAGUAGUCGCUAUCCAUGUGCCACUGUUGACUGCUCCCUUUCACUGUUCCCUGCACACUUAAGUCAAUGAUUAGACUUAGGAACCCAAGCCAGCUUGGGUCCCUUAUAAUGAUAGAACGAGCAGAUCAAACUUCUUUUUGCCCAUGCAGGAAGCAUAUAUUUUCUUUUCAGGGAACCAAGUUCCUCAUCAGUAUGCCGUUUUUCAACAAAGACUUUAUUUUUCUGCAAAGACUGAUUUUUAACUUUACAAAAGUCCUUGUAAUGACCGGUUUGACCACAGUGAGCGCACAACCUAUUAUCAGCCACAGUUAUAUACUUCCUAUAAGGAUUAUAGGAGGUUUUAGCCUUUUGGAACCUGAUACCUUGCCUAUUUCCAUCAUUACUCCUGUACAUAGACGUUAUUACAUCAGAGGACCGGGUCCAUUUUAUUGACUUAUCAAGAUCAUUUUUAACCCUUUUUAAAUCCUCCUGAAGUUGUCUAUUCUUUUUAAGCCCAGCAACAAGACUUGUUUUAAUUUUCUUCAGCUCACUCUCAAGCUCAAGUUGAGCCUUUCUAGCCACUUCCUCUCCCUUAGUGUUGUCCAUCCAUUUUUUUGUUUGUUUUUUCAACAAGCUGUGUUCUCUAGUUACUUCUUAUACUUGUUUCCUUAAAUAUACAAUGGAAACUACCAUAUCAUCCUUUUUUUGCUCAGUAGCUGCAAUUUUCUCUACUAGAGUAUUCUUUUCUUUGCUAAGGGUCUCUAUGGUUUCCUUCAAGUUAUUAACCACUACGAUCAAAUCAUCUCUAGACUGUUCAACAUCUCCUAGCUCUAUGAUUAGGGCAUAUUUAUCAUUAACAAAACUAUAAUAUGUAUUAAUUAGAACAUUUGCUAAUGACAUCAAUUUUUUUGAAGAGUAGGACUUCAGAUUUCUCUGAACAUCCCUGAAAGUUACCUCAUCAUUGUCAUCCUCUCCAUCCUCAUCGGACUGAGCCAUCAAUGCAAACAAUGAAUCAUCUUCAUUUUGCAUUGCCAUCAAGGAGCUGCUUCCUACAUCUGGUUCCUCUUUUGAUUCACUGGAGGUGUCUCCCCAUGCAGCAAGAGCUUGCUUCACAACAUUGUCAGCUGCACUUUUUUGGCUGAAUCGUUUGUCAGGAACCGAGUUCCUUUUUGCUACAUUGUAAGGCUUGUGUUUGUAAUGCUCUUGUUUCAGAAAUGGGCAGUCUUUGAUGAAGUGUCCAGGCUUUCCAGACUUAUGACAACAAUCAUUUCCUUUGGAAUUCCUACUGGAACUUCCUUUCUUUGGGAUCCCACCAUUUUUGCGACCCAUCUUCUGAAAUCUUUGUGGUCUAUUGGUUGAUUGACUUUCCUCGAGGUUGGGUAGAGCAGCCAUGUAGAUCCUUUCUAGGUGUUAACCUUUUAUAAAGAACUCGCUCUGAUACCAAUUGUUAAAAACUAUGCGUCCACCAGACUGUAUAGAGAACCGGGUUCUCAAUGAGGUUCCACUGAAGAUACUAAUGAGCCGAACUAUAUAGCGAUCUGGUCCUAUAUCAGUUUGGUACUGUGCUAACUAUUGAACAAGUAUGUAAAUGAUACACAUGAUAAGUUCCUACUAUACAGAGAACCAGAUUCUCUAUAGGUUCCCACUAUAAGCCACAGACUGUAAAAUCAACCAGUAUAGGGAAUCAGGUUCUCCAAUUGUUCUCACAAUAGCUCGGUAGUAAGUAAAGAACACAGAGGAUUUUUACGUGGAAAAAUCCCAACUCAAGGGGAAAAAACCAUGACCUAUACUUGUAGGCUUUCAACUUCAUUAACUUGUAAACCCCUAUUACAAGCCACUUUGUAAUAACUCUAUUACAAAGAAUUCAACUAACUUGUGGUACUCUUACCACAAGCCACUUUGUGACUCCCUAGUUACAAAGAUUUUAACUAACUUAUGAUGCUCUCAUCACAAGCCACUUUUUCACUCUAGAGUAACAAAGAAUUUUCACUCUAACUUGUAAUAACACUAUUAUAAGCUACUUUGUAACUCUGUAGUUACAAAGACUUUACAACUUGACUAACUCUAGCCAAGACACAAACUUAAAGGGUUUGUGAUUUUGAGUUUCCUAAAAGUAGCUUCUAAGAAAGCUAGAUAGGAGUUACAACGAAGAACAAAUAACAAAGACUCAACAAACCUAAGGACUUAAGAUAUCUUCGAUCUUGGAUUAGGUCCUUGAGGUUGAAGCAGCUUUGUUCUUGAGAGAGGUUGUUCUUGCACUUGAGAGAGUAUUUCCGUUUUUGAUUUUGCAAGUCUUGGAGAGGGAGGUCUUGUGUCUUGCACCAGGUUUAUAUUACAAAAGACAUCACCUUAGUGAUGUCAAUUUACAAUAGUGAUGUCCAAUCUUGGUUAGUACAUGCCCUUUCUCAAUGGGAAGUGACUAUUGCACUGUCUGUAGAACUGUUGCGUGUACAGUUGUAGGCAGUCACUUUCUGCAGUUGCUUUCCAACUAUACUGUUGACUUAUUCUUCUGGCAGGGGAACACCAAGGUAUCAGGUCCCUAAUCUGGUUCCUGUGAAUCUAAAGACACACUGCCCAGAUUAUCUUGAGUUGAUUAACUUGAAUGAUUGUACCAGGCAUGCUUCAGGUCCUUCAUCUGGUUCUCUCAUGAAGUAAGGUGUUUUUACCUUCCUUGAUUGUGUUUAUGCAUGUGUGGCAUCACUUACAAUGAUGUAAGCAAGGUAGGUAAAGAGCCUUCUACAGAAAGUUAACUGAUGCGCUGUUCCUGUGCAGUAGCGUGUGCAAG